rnacentral:rRNA from 1 species
UGCGUAGGCGGAUUAAUAAGUCAGUGGUGAAAACCUUCAGCUUAACUGGAGACUUGCCAUUGAUACUGUUAGUCUUGAGUACGGUCAAGGUAGGCGGAAUGUGUAAUGUAGCGGUGAAAUGUUUAGAUAUUACACAGAACACCGAUUGCGAAGGCAGCUUACUGGACCAUUACUGACGCUGAGGCACGAAAGCGUGGGGAGCGAACAGGAUUAGAUACCCUGGUAGUCC